rnacentral:rRNA from 1 species
AUUGAACGCUGGCGGCAGGCUUAACACAUGCAAGUCGAGCGGAGCGAGGGUGCUUGCACCUUAGCUUAGCGGCGGACGGGUGAGUAAUGCUUAGGAAUCUGCCUAUUAGUGCGGGACAACAUUCCGAAAGGAAUGCUAAUACCGCAUACGCCCUAAGGGGGGAAAGCAGGGGAUCUUCGGACCUUGCGCUAAUAGAUGAGCCUAAGUCGGAUUAGCUAGUGGGUGGGGUAAAGGCCUACCAAGGCGACGAUCUGUAGCGGGUCUGAGAGGAUGAUCCGCCACACUGGGACUGAGACACGGCCCAGACUCCUACGGGAGGCAGCAGUGGGGAAUAUUGGACAAUGGGCGGAAGCCUGAUCCAGCCAUGCCGCGUGUGUGAAGAAGGCCUUUUGGUUGUAAAGCACUUUAAGCGAGGAGGAGGCUACUUAGAUUAAUACUCUAGGAUAGUGGACGUUACUCGCAGAAUAAGCACCGGCUAACUCUGUGCCAGCAGCCGCCGUAACAC